GUGAUCUGCCUCGCACUUCGGGAUAAGCCUGGGAAACUGGGUCUAAUACCGGAUAUGACCUGCUGUCGCAUGGCGGUGGGUGGAAAGAUUUAUCGGUGCGAGAUGGGCCCGCGGCCUAUCAGCUUGUUGGKGGGGUAAUGGCCUACCAAGGCGACGACGGGUAGCCGACCUGAGAGGGUGACCGGCCACACUGGGACUGAGACACGGCCCAGACUCCUACGGGAGGCAGCAGUGGGGAAUAUUGCACAAUGGGCGAAAGCCUGAUGCAGCGACSCCGCGUGAGGGAUGACGGCCUUCGGGUUGUAAACCUCUUUCGACAGGGACGAAGCGCAAGUGACGGUACCUGUARAAGAAGCACCGGCCAACUACGUGCCAGCAGCCGCGGUAAUACGUAGGGUGCGAGCGUUGUCCGGAAUUACUGGGCGUAAAGAGCUUGUAGGCGGUUUGUCGCGUCGUCUGUGAAAACUCACAGCUCAACUGUGAGCUUGCAGGCGAUACGGGCAGACUUGAGUACUUCAGGGGAGACUGGAAUUCCUGGUGUAGCGGUGAAAUGCGCAGAUAUCAGGAGGAACACCGGUGGCGAAGGCGGGUCUCUGGGAAGUAACUGACGCUGAGAAGCGAAAGCGUGGGUAGCGAACAGGAUUAGAUACCCUGGUAGUCCACGCCGUAAACGGUGGGUACUAGGUGUGGGUUUCCUUCCAC
rnacentral:rRNA from 1 species